rnacentral:rRNA from 1 species
CCUACGGGAGGCAGCAGUGGGGAAUAUUGGACAAUGGGGGCAACCCUGAUCCAGCCAUGCCGCGGGUGUGAAGAAGGCCCUCGGGUUGUAAAGCACUUUCAGUGAGGAAGAACGCCUGGUGGUUAAUACCCAUCAGGAAAGACAUCACUCACAGAAGAAGCACCGGCUAACUCCGUGCCAGCAGCCGCGGUAAUACGGAGGGUGCGAGCGUUAAUCGGAAUUACUGGGCGUAAAGCGCGCGUAGGUGGCUUGAUAAGCCGGUUGUGAAAGCCCCGGGCUCAACCUGGGAACGGCAUCCGGAACUGUCAAGCUAGAGUGCAGGAGAGGAAGGUAGAAUUCCCGGUGUAGCGGUGAAAUGCGUAGAGAUCGGGAGGAAUACCAGUGGCGAAGGCGGCCUUCUGGACUGACACUGACACUGAGGUGCGAAAGCGUGGGUAGCAAACAGGAUUAGAUACCCCAGUAGUC